rnacentral:rRNA from 1 species
GACGAACGCUGGCGGCGUGCUUAACACAUGCAAGUCGAACGGAAAGGCCCUGCUUUUGUGGGGUGCUCGAGUGGCGAAAGGGUGAGUAACACGUGAGUAACCUGCCCUUGACUUUGGGAUAACUUCAGGAAACUGGGGCUAAUACCGGAUAGGAGCUCCUGCUGCAUGGUGGGGGUUGGAAAGUUUCGGCGGUUGGGGAUGGACUCGCGGCUUAUCAGCUUGUUGGUGGGGUAGUGGCUUACCAAGGCGUUGACGGGUAGCCGGCCUGAGAGGGUGACCGGCCACAUUGGGACUGAGAUACGGCCCAGACUCCUACGGGAGGCAGCAGUGGGGAAUAUUGCACGAUGGGCGGAAGCCUGAUGCAGCAACGCCGCGUGCGGGAUGACGGCCUUCGGGUUGUAAACCGCUUUCGCCUGUGACGAAGCGUGAGUGACGGUAAUGGGUAAAGAAGCACCGGCUAACUACGUG